UACCUGUCCCCGCUGGUGAAGAAAACUUUGAGGUGUGGAAAGAUCAUGGAAAGUUUAAGACUACCAGCAUCCAUUAUCAUUAGAGCUUACAAGCACACUCAUCCAUCUUUGGAAAGGGUCACCAGGAUAAGCGUCACCGGGAAGAGUGCUUCACCCAAGUAGGACAGCAAAAAAAAACAUCAAAAAAGUAUAUCCAAAAAGAACUGGGACUUUAAACACUUAUUCAUUCCAAAAAAUGAAGAGACCAUAAUUAGUGGACAAGCUGACUCACUCUUCUAAGGCUGCUUAUCUGAAACAAGGCUGCUCUCCAGUGGGUACCCGGGAUGUGACUCAAAGCAUAAACACAUAGGGGGGACUGUCCCUCUCUUUAAACAAAAUCUCUCUAUCCCUCUUUCCUCCUUAUUGUUCCUCUUUUUGUUCUAUAGGUAAAGGCCUUGUUAAAAACAAUCUAUUUUUUAACUCCCAAAACUAUUAUACUAUGCUGAACCUUUCAUCCAGCUAGAACGAAGAAGAAUUAGUCGUAAAAAAGACUUCUAAACAUACAUAAUCAUUCUCUGCAUAUUUUCUAUCUACAUAGCUGGGGUGGGAGGUUUCAGGGAUGUAUCCUUUGCCUACAUGCCUGGCACCAAAAGGUGUCCCUCUUUCCCAUCUCAGAAAGUUGGAAGGUAUUUAGGCAUAUACCUGAAGGACAAACCAAAUUGUUCAGAAAAUGAUCACAUAAAAGCCAAUACCUUUCAGGGGGCAAACAAAUGUCAUCAUUAAGGCUCAGUAACCUUGUCAAGGCUUAAGAAUUUGUUAAGGCAGAGUGUAUCAGUGCAUUUUACACUGCUACAAUUUGUCUUACUGCAUUUUCAAAAAUCAGCUACAGAUCUAUUUGGUCAUCUACAUUGAUUAGUUUGUUUAAGCUUACGUAUACCUAGUGAUGGGGAAUGUGUUUGGCCCUCAAAACAGUUUUGGCUAUUUUUGACUAUUCUACUGUAUAUGAUCAGUUAAAGAACAAUUAAAUAAUUUUGGACUCUG